GAUGAACGCUAGCGGCAGGCUUAACACAUGCAAGUCGAGGGGUAUAGUAGCAAUACUAGAGACCGGCGCACGGGUGCGUAACGCGUAUGCAAUCUACCUUUUACAGAGGGAUAGCCCAGAGAAAUUUGGAUUAAUACCUCAUAGUAUGUGAGAAUCGCAUGGUUUUCAUAUUAAAGUUCCAACGGUAAAAGAUGAGCAUGCGUCCCAUUAGCUAGAUGGUAAGGUAACGGCUUACCAUGGCGACGAUGGGUAGGGGUCCUGAGAGGGAGAUCCCCCACACUGGUACUGAGACACGGACCAGACUCCUACGGGAGGCAGCAGUGAGGAAUAUUGGACAAUGGGCGCAAGCCUGAUCCAGCCAUGCCGCGUGCAGGAUGACGGUCCUAUGGAUUGUAAAACUGCUUUUGUACAGGAAGAAACACUCCCUCGUGAGGGAGCUUGACGGUACUGUAAGAAUAAGGAUCGGCUAACUCCGUGCCAGCAG
rnacentral:rRNA from 1 species